rnacentral:rRNA from 1 species
UUAAAUUGAAGAGUUUGAUCAUGGCUCAGAUUGAACGCUGGCGGCAGGCCUAACACAUGCAAGUCGAACGGUAACAGGAAGAAGCUUGCUUCUUUGCUGACGAGUGGCGGACGGGUGAGUAAUGUCUGGGAAACUGCCUGAUGGAGGGGGAUAACUACUGGAAACGGUA